rnacentral:pre_miRNA from 1 species
CUGCAAUGAGGGUACAUACCAGUGAGGCUCAGGCUAUACUCCAGGACUCAAUUGAUCACAGGUAUAACCCUAGCCCAACUGUACUCUGAUCCAG